ACCCAGCUUGCUCUCAUUUAUGUAACAGUUUUGAAGGGUAUAUUGAGGUGAAUUAUUUCUCUUGUCAAAAUGGUCUAAUGGCUUCUGAAGUUCCUUUCCAAAAGAAUCCAGUCCACAGUAUAUAGAAACUUCCCGGAGAAAAUAAUGGAACAUCUAACAGGGGCUGCCAUUGAUGCUGAGUUGUGGAGCUGUCUUGGAUGGUCUUUCCAGGCAUGCGAGCUGUGACCCAGACAAAUUCCUCUGAGGCUGGGAGACCACCAAGAUGGGAGGCUACGAGACGAUGGUUGCUCAAGAGACUUUGUGAGGCUCGGUGGCUUCUAUCACGACGCAGC